GGGUGCGAUCAUACCAGCACUAAUUCUCCGGAUCCUAUCAGAACUCUACAGUGAAGCGUGUUUGGGGGAAAGUAGUACUAGGAUGGGUGACUUGGUGAGAAGUCCUCGUAUUGCACCCC
rnacentral:rRNA from 1 species